CGCACUAGUCGGGGAGAUAGCGGUGCCCUGUACCCGCAAUCCGCUACAGCGGGGAUGAAUCCCGGCCCCCGGACGUGUGAUGUGCCGUCUGCCCUGGAUAAGUAGUGAUGAUAGACCGGUCCCGCGCAACGCGGCUCCGUGAACCGUGUCAGGCGGGGAACCGAGCAGCACUAAGCGGCCCGCCGUGUGUGCCGCGGGGUUACUGUUCUUGAGCUGGCUGUCCAGGUA
rnacentral:SRP_RNA from 1 species